rnacentral:lncRNA from 1 species
UGAGGUUGAGGAGGAGGAGGAGGAUGCCGAGGUUGGGACGAGGUCAGAGACGUCCGCUGGGGGUAAGGUUCAAUGUGUUCCUACUCUCUACUUCGAGCGCUCCAAGGUGACUUCGUGAGACAUUACGUCUUUUGAGGAGAGCAACUUCUUUCCUAAGGGGCUGGGCAGAGCGCCUGGGAAUGAGGCGGUUCCUACGCCCGAAGUUGGCGAAGCUGUUGUUUUUAGGGACCUGUUUAUUGCGAGGCUUCGGUUUCCCUGUGACAGGCAGUUGCCGGUUAUAUUGGAUCGCUAUCGUGUUAGGCUGCAC